rnacentral:rRNA from 1 species
ACAGGUGAGUAAUACAUCGGAACGUACCCAGAAGUGGGGGAUAACGUAGCGAAAGUUACGCUAAUACCGCAUACGUUCUACGGAAGAAAGUGGGGGACCUUCGGGCCUCAUGCUUUUGGAGCGGCCGAUGUCUGAUUAGCUAGUUGGUGAGGUAAAGGCUCACCAAGGCGACGAUCAGUAGCUGGUCUGAGAGGACGACCAGCCACACUGGGACUGAGACACGGCCCAGACUCCUACGGGAGGCAGCAGUGGGGAAUUUUGGACAAUGGGCGCAAGCCUGAUCCAGCAAUGCCGCGUGAGUGAAGAAGGCCUUCGGGUUGUAAAGCUCUUUUGUCAGGGAAGAAACGGCCGAGGCUAAUACCUUUGGCUAAUGACGGUACCUGAAGAAUAAGCACCGGCUAACUACGUGCCAGCAGCCGCGGUAAUACGUAGGGUGCAAGCGUUAAUCGGAAUUAUUGGGCGUAAAGCGUGCGCAGGCGGUUUUGUAAGUCUGACGUGAAAUCCCCGGGCUUAACCUGGGAAUUGCGUUGGAGACUGCAAGGCUGGAGUCUGGCAGAGGGGGGUAGAAUUCCACGUGUAGCAGUG